rnacentral:rRNA from 1 species
GCGAACGCUGGCGGCAGGCCUAAUACAUGCAAGUCGAGCGGGUCCUUCGGGACUAGCGGCGGACGGGUGAGUAACGCGUGGGAACGUGCCCUUUGGUACGGAACAACUGAGGGAAACUUCAGCUAAUACCGUAUGUGCCCUUCGGGGGAAAGAUUUAUCGCCAUUGGAGCGGCCCGCGUUGGAUUAGGUAGUUGGUGAGGUAAAGGCUCACCAAGCCUACGAUCCAUAGCUGGUCUGAGAGGAUGACCAGCCACACUGGGACUGAGACACGGCCCAGACUCCUACGGGAGGCAGCAGUAGGGAAUCUUGCGCAAUGGGCGAAAGCCUGACGCAGCCAUGCCGCGUGAAUGAUGAAGGUCUUAGGAUUGUAAAAUUCUUUCACCGGGGACGAUAAUGACGGUACCCGGAGAAGAAGCCCCGGCUAACUUCGU